rnacentral:pre_miRNA from 1 species
UUGCUACUCCCUUCUUUUGAAAAUACUUGUCAUCAAAAUAAAUAAAAGAGGAUGUAUUUAGACGUAUUUUAGUUCUUGAUAUAUCUCUUUUUAUCUAUUUUGAUGACUAAUUAUUUUUGAACGGAGGGAGUACCAC